AAAGAGAAGGAGAGAAGGAGAAAACAGGAUGAGAAGAUAGGGAGAAGGCUUUUGCAUUGAGAUUAGGAAAAAGAAGGGGAAAAAAAAAAGAGAGGAAGAAAAGGGAGAAGGAAGAAGAGAGGAGGAAAAUGAAGAAAAGGAGAGAAAAAAGGAUUAAAAAAAGGAAAAGAGAGAGAUCUUGUGAAAGGAAAGAAAGGAGAAAAGAAAAGAAGAAAAAUGGAAGAAAAAAAAAAUCAGAGGAGAUGGCUUCCAGCGCAACAGAGAAAGAAAUAAACAGAAAACUAAGAUGAAAAAAAUUAAAAAAAAAAGAAAAUAAAAAAUUAGAGAAAAUAUAUUGAGG
rnacentral:lncRNA from 1 species